rnacentral:rRNA from 1 species
UACGUAGGGUGCAAGCGUUAAUCGGAAUUACUGGGCGUAAAGCGUGCGCAGGCGGCUAUGCAAGACAGGUGUGAAAUCCCCGGGCUUAACCUGGGAACUGCGCUUGUGACUGCAAGACUCGAGUACGGCAGGAGGGGGGUAGAAUUCCACGUGUAGCAGUGAAAUGCGUAGAGAUGUGGAGGAAUACCGAUGGCGAAGGCAGCCCCCUGGGUCGAUACUGACGCUCAUGCACGAAAGCGUGGGGAGCGAACAGG